rnacentral:lncRNA from 1 species
AAACUUUUGGGCUACAAAGAAGUUAUCACAUUCACAACCACGUUUGACGAUGUGUCCCACAGCAAACCUAAUCUCGGAGCAUUCAAAAACCUCUCGUAUAACACAGCAUCUCGACCUGAUUGGUAACUCUACACAGUUCCUGCGUCAGCCUUUCUGA